rnacentral:rRNA from 1 species
UACAGAGGGUGCGAGCGUUGUUCGGAAUUAUUGGGCGUAAAGGGCGCGUAGGCGGUGCGGUAAGUCACCUGUGAAAUCUCCUGGCUCAACUGGGAGCUUGCAGGCGAAACUGCCGUGCUGGAGUGUGGGAGAGGUGCGUGGAAUUCCUGGUGUAGCGGUGAAAUGCGCAGAUAUCAGGAGGAAUACCGAUGGCGAAGGCAGGUCUCUGGGCUGACACUGACGCUCAUGCACGAAAGCGUGGGGAGCAAACAGG